rnacentral:rRNA from 1 species
GUCCUACGGGAGGCAGCAGUAGGGAAUCUUCCACAAUGGACGAAAGUCUGAUGGAGCAACGCCGCGUGAGUGAAGAAGGGUUUCGGCUCGUAAAGCUCUGUUGGUAGUGAAGAAAGAUAGAGGUAGUAACUGGCCUUUAUUUGACGGUAAUUACUUAGAAAGUCACGGCUAACUACGUGCCAGCAGCCGCGGUAAUACGUAGGUGACAAGCGUUGUCCGGAUUUACUGGGUGUAAAGGGCGCGGAGGCGGGAUAGCAAGUCAGUCGUGAAAUGCCGAGGCUUAACCUCGGAGCUGCGAUUGAAAA